UACGGAGGGGGCUAGCGUUGUUCGGAAUUACUGGGCGUAAAGCGCACGUAGGCGGCUUUGUAAGUUAGAGGUGAAAGCCCGGGGCUCAACUCCGGAAUUGCCUUUAAGACUGCAUCGCUAGAAUUGUGGAGAGGUAAGUGGAAUUCCGAGUGUAGAGGUGAAAUUCGUAGAUAUUCGGAAGAACAUCAGUGGCGAAGGCGACUUACUGGACACAUAUUGACGCUGAGGUGCGAAAGCGUGGGGAGCAAACAGG
rnacentral:rRNA from 1 species